rnacentral:rRNA from 1 species
CAUGUAGGCGGUCUGUCAAGUCUGAUGUGAAAGCCCGGGGCUCAACCCCGGAAGUGCAUUGGAAACUGGCAGACUUGAGUACGGGAGAGGAAAGUGGAAUUUCGAGUGUAGGGGUGAAAUCCGUAGAUAUUCGAAGGAACACCAGUGGCGAAGGCGGCUUUCUGGACCGAUACUUACGCUGAGAUGCGAAAGCGUGGGGAGCAAACAGGAUUAGAUACCCUGGUAGUCC